AGCAACACCACACCCUCCUGAUCACCAUAGCUUUAUGCAACAACAAGAAACAAAUUUAUUAGCUAACCUAACCACUAAUGACGCAAGAGACAAUUCUAAGGACUUUCAAAACAGCAAAGUAGGAGCAGCUGCUACCUCUAGGGAUGAGGGAGAAACUCAAAAAUGCAUACAAAAACCAUUGCAUGAAAAGUGACUGGAUUUGUACAUAGCGUCAGGAGAUGUGCGUAGUGUCAAAGUAUCUCAUCACACAUUACUUGAUAAUUACAAAUGAGAAAAAUGAACCUUCACAGUGGCAAGACUUGACUUCUACCUCUUUCAAAAAGAUGCAAUUGUCCAAUUAUUGGUGAAAUUGUCAUUUCAUGCUAUUGGCUAUUUGAAAUUCCUCCUCUAAUUUCAGAAUAAAUCACUGAAAUUGACAUCGGCC
rnacentral:lncRNA from 10 species